rnacentral:rRNA from 1 species
CCUACGGGGGGCUGCAGUGGGGAAUAUUGGACAAUGGGGGGAACCCUGAUCCAGCCAUGCCGCGUGUGUGAAGAAGGCCCUCGGGUUGUAAAGCACUUUCAGUGAGGAAGAACGCCUGGUGGUUAAUACCCAUCAGGAAAGACAUCACUCACAGAAGAAGCACCGGCUAACUCCGUGCCAGCAGCCGCGGUAAUACGGAGGGUGCGAGCGUUAAUCGGAAUUACUGGGCGUAAAGCGCGCGUAGGUGGCUUGAUAAGCCGGUUGUGAAAGCCCCGGGCUCAACCUGGGAACGGCAUCCGGAACUGUCAAGCUAGAGUGCAGGAGAGGAAGGUAGAAUUCCCGGUGUAGCGGUGAAAUGCGUAGAGAUCGGGAGGAAUACCAGUGGCGAAGGCGGCCUUCUGGACUGACACUGACACUGAGGUGCGAAAGCGUGGGUAGCACACAGGAUUAGAUACCCCAGUAGUC